AAGCGCUUUUAUUAUUCAGCAUUAUGCAUAUACAUACAAGUAGAAGCUGGCUUCAAAUUUUUCAUUUGCUGAAUACCUCCUUAUUUGAGCUCCGUCACUGCAUGCUCUCAUCAUCCCAUGAUCUCCAUCCAUCACUGACAAGGGCCCAGGAACACAAGCAGAGGAAUUUGCAUAUUCUGAGCCACUUUGUAAGGAAUAUCUCCUGCCACUGAAUUUUCAACAAACUUCAAGAUUCAUUUUAAUGGAUUUUGUUUGGUCAGUGGUAGCAAUGGCCAAGAGACAGAUACAGACUCUGCCAGGAAGAAGCCUGAGCCAAUUCCUUGCUCAUGAUCAGCUCUGUACUGCGGAAAUUCCCAGCAUCUACUGUUUACCAGCUCAUCCUGGAAGAAAUAUUUCUUCUUCUUCAGUAAAUUAACAGUAAAUUAUUUGGAGUAAAUGUCUACAUCAAGGUUACUUUUCCACCCUCUCCAUAAAGGAAAGUAAUUUCUUAAGCUGGAGAACAUCAGCAUGAAACAGGACUCCAGGAAGCAAGGGAAAGAGCUAUUGAGAAAGGCUAAAGACAGAUCAGAAAUUAUCUGAAGGCUGCACCUAGGAAUGAUGGAGAACAGACCAGAAACAGAAGAAAAAGAAAUAUCUGGUAUCUUUGAGAAAGAAAUGGCAAGAAAUUAGAAGUAACUUAAAAUGUGAGAGAAAAAAAAAAAUCAACUUGGAGGAGUUUAUCUGAUCUCACAAUCUUUUUGUAUAUCAUCUUAUUGAAGAAAUCUGUCUUUUACCUAUUCCUUGACACUGACCAAUGCUAUUUAUUGAAAAUACUGGAUAUUAAUUUGAUUAUUGUUGAAAAGGAAAAUAUACAUUUUUCUCCAUAUGUCUUAAUUAUAGCUAUAUUAACGGGCUGCUGUAGGCAUUCUGCCUAUUUCAGUAGUCACCAUUUACAGAUGAACUUCCCAAUUUACUGUGGAACCUUUAUAUCCCAUUUAAGACUGAGGUCUGAAAUGCUACCAUUAGUUUUACCAUUUAAUCUAUUUGAUACAUUUCCAUUUGGCUUUGGGCCAGACUACAACAAAACUGCUUUGGGAAGCUACUCCAACAUAGUUAAUGUGUCUUGUCCUUGCAAUUAGUACUUGUAGACAUAUCUAGAUGUAUAAGCAUCUUAGCUUUAAAAAUGAAACAAUGCCAUUGUUUUUGCCAAAAGCCCUUAUUUAUGCAAUCCUAUUUCUUGGUAGGAUUUAUUUUCUAAUAAUAUGGAAUUAAAAGAUACCCUACAAAGCCAAAGAAAUUUAAUAUGUAAUUUUUUGCAGGCUUAACAGCCUGCAUAAACCAGUACUUUACUUUUAAAAUAUUUACUUUAAAAUGUAAUAAAUAGUAGUGUUUUAAAAAAUUGUAUUUCUUUACAAUCUCAAAUGAAAAUAAGUACAAUAUAAUUGUUUCACUUGCACAAUUCCAAAGGGGUUUUUUUUUCCUUUUUUUAAUGGAAAAUGUUCAGGCAUCAUACAAUUAGAUGUGACCAUGGGAUGUAACCUAGUCCGAUAUCCCCUAAUUUUUUGUAGCCAAAACCUCACUGCUGCUGGUUUUUUUCCUUAGCUUAAGCCUGUCUUCACUCUUAAACCACAUUACCUGCCCCUAUCAGUCCCUCAGAGUCACCACAGUCUCUGUGCCUCCCCAGGCAUUACAGCAGGAUAAUUUAACUUAAGCAUUUAAGGAUCACUUAAAAGCUCAACCAGACAAAGCAGUAUCUGCUGAAAUUUGACCUGGCAAAAAAUCACACAGAUUUUCAACUUCUGUUCUACUUCCUAACCUUCAUGUCAUUUUUGGAAAGCAAAUUGUUAUUUUAUAAUUAUUUCCCCACAUAAACACCAGAGGGAUAUCUAUACAGCUUGUCUUUUGAAAUCUUAAAUAGCAGAAGAUUCCACAACCUUCCUAGUCAAUUUAUUUUAGUAUUUAGUUGUUGUUUUAAUUUUUUUAGUUGAUAACUUAUAUUUUUUUUCUUCAAAAUUACUAAUAUCUGUCCAGCAUCCUGCAUAAGGAAAGUACUAUUUUUCACUUUCAUGUGUUCUGUGGAACAUUUGGAAAUUGGUUACUCUGCCUUCCUGAACAUUUUCUGAAAUGAGCAAUCUCAUUUCUUCUAAUAUUUCUUUAGACACAAUUUUUAGACUUCUGACCUUUUUUUUUUGUGUGUGACUUGCCUAAAUGGCCCAUGCCCUGUGGAAAAAAUAUGCUAAAGCUGGAUGUAGCUAUACUUUUACUAGGGCUGUCAAAAGGGGAAGAAUUGCUGUUUGAGUUUUACAUACACAUGCCUACUUCUGUGCCCCCAUGUGAAGCAGAUGAUUGAUGUCCUGCACUUGCCAAUGGCACUAGGAUGGUUUUUCAUGUGAAUUGCAGGAGCAAUGCAAACUUAACCUUAAACCCACACACUCAUGCCUUGAAGCUCUGGAGCCUUGACACACAUAAAUUUUUACCAAAUCAAGGGGCCAGUGCUGCAUGGUUUCAGAGGAGUUUUGAAUAAAUGUGCACUGAGGCUUUGAUUCUGUACAACAGAGGUGGAAAUUUUGAGAGGUAAACGUGUAGUUACAUGCAUUGCUAGACAAGGUAUGUUGUAUUUAACAUAACAAUGACUGCAGCAGGGCUCCCCUGUUUUUAUAAGGAAAAAAAUCUUGACAGACACUGAUGUUGCUAGUGAUCAGCAGCUGAAUGUAUGUAAAGAGGGAUUUUUUCAUUUAAUCUCAGCAAUAUUUGGUGACACAUGGAAUAAAAGCUCUUACAAAACCUUGUUACUGUGACUCCUCUAAACAGAUGCUGCACAUCUUAACUACCAUGAAAAAUCCUAAUUCUGAGCAUCGCUUUCAUGUCCUUCAUAGCUGCAGUCCCAUGCUACUCAAAAAUGUUACAGUCAGAGCCACCAAGGCCUGGAUAAUCUUUGUCACUGGUGAGUGUAAUUUAGUAGUCUCAGUAAAAAUCCUGAGGUGCUGGUUUCAUUUGUGUUCAUUUCAAAUCCUCAGAAUUAUUAUCAUAAGAGUUUCCCAUCUCCUCCAUUCAAAACUGGGACAUCAUGCUUAUCUUUGAGCUCUAAUUUAAAGCAAAUUUUAUUCUGUCUAUAGUGUAAUUUUCUUGUAUAAAGGUCUCAGGCAAGCCACCUAUAAAUAAUGUUCUGGUCUGUGAUUACUUUUCUGGAUAAAUUUAAUCUCCAUGGGGUUAUAAUGUACAUUUCAUUUUCUGAAUUUCUGCCUACACUGUAGAUUUUCAUCAUGGUGGGAAAUGGAUGUAAGAAGCAAGAUAACUUUGUGUGAGUCUGAAUACUGUGGCCCCACAAACUAUUUGCAUCAUCAUGACAGAUAAUUAUAAUAACAUUUUCUGUGGUUUACACAAAUUAUCAUUUUCUCUUUGUUGAGCAUAGGGGAAACCAUUCCAGAAUUCCAUUUCUAUUUCUGUUUUACUUUAUUCACAAUAUCUAUUAUUCUGUGCUUUAAACACUGGCACAGGCCUCACAUGAUCUCAAGAAAAUAUCAGCUUUUGCUUAAAAAAUAUUAUUUAUAUUAUCUUAAGCCAACUGAUCUCUGUCAGUUACAUCAGCUUAGGGCUGGCUGUUGUUGAACAUUGAGUCCAGCCUCAGAUGUCUGUGCUGUUCAGGAAAUGCCUUUCCUCAGAUGUCCAAGGUAGUGGUUCCAAAGGCCCUAAAUAAAAUGGGCAAAACUAAGCACAUACUAAUUCUAGACACUGAGAAAUAUCUAUAUGAAAUUCUGGCUUUCAGCCUUAAAUUCACAUUUUCUUUUAAUAUGCAUUUUCUCCCUGAACACUGCAGAGCACAUGAGGAACAUGAUGCUGGCCUCUUUUUUCAAAGAUUCCUUGAGGCUUCAGAAACCAAAGGGUUUCCAUCUAGUCAGUGACCUACUAUUCAUUAAUGUGUAAGUACAGUUUGCCAAAAAAAAAAAAAGGGAAAAAAAUUGUAAGCACAAUAUGCAAUGGAUGCUUUUGCUUUUAAGACUGAAGUUCAAAAAGUUAUCUUGGUGUGUUUCUUGUUCCUCAGCAGCUCUAAAAAAAGCUGUGGUCACCACCUUUUUCCUCUGAGUACUGAAUUAUGUAUGUCUCUGUAGGACCAGAAAUUGUAUUACAAAAAAAUUACUUUUCUCCAAUACUUCUGAAAAAGAUCAGAGUGAUCUGGUGAGUUCUGUAUGUCUCCAGAGGGUAAGGAUGAAAACCUUUCAAUCAUAGCGUCAAUCUAUUCACAAUUCUUUAAAAGGUAACCUCAGGCUGGCCAGAAUUUUUGGGGGGGAAAAAAAGGUGAAAUAUGAGAUCUGUUGAUUUUAUUUAAAAAUUCUUUGAUAUCCCAUGAAGU